CAGUAGCCGCGGUAAUACGAAGGGGGCUAGCGUUGUUCGGAUUUACUGGGCGUAAAGCGCACGUAGGCGGACUUUUAAGUCAGUGGUGAAAUCCCGGGGCUCAACCCCGGAACUGCCUUUGAUACUGGGAGUCUUGAGUUCGAGAGAGGUGAGUGGAAUUGCGAGUGUAGAGGUGAAAUUCGUAGAUAUUCGCAGGAACACCAGUGGCGAAGGCGGCUCACUGGCUCGAUACUGACACUGAUAGACGAAAGCUAGGGGAGCAAAUGGGAUUAGAUACCCCGGUAGUCCCUGUCUCUUAUAC
rnacentral:rRNA from 1 species